AGCCUUCUGUAUCCGUUCUGAGAUUUCGUCACACACCAGACCACAAGGGCUGUUGAGACAGAUCCCCAAAUCA
rnacentral:pre_miRNA from 1 species